rnacentral:rRNA from 1 species
UAAGCAUAUCAAUAAGCGGAGGAAAAGAAACUAACAAGGAUUCCCCUAGUAACUGCGAGUGAAGCGGGAAAAGCUCAAAUUUAAAAUCUGGCGGUCUUUGGCCGUCCGAGUUGUAGUCUGGAGAAGUGUUUUCCGUGCUGGACCGUGUACAAGUCUCUUGGAACAGAGCGUCAUAGAGGGUGAGAAUCCCGUCUUUGACACGGACUACCAGUGCUUUGUGAUGCGCUCUCAAAGAGUCGAGUUGUUUGGGAAUGCAGCUCAAAAUGGGUGGUAAAUUCCAUCUAAAGCUAAAUAUUGGCGAGAGACCGAUAGCGAACAAGUACCGUGAGGGAAAGAUGAAAAGCACUUUGGAAAGAGAGUUAAACAGUACGUGAAAUUGCUGAAAGGGAAACGCUUGAAGUCAGUCGCGUUGAUCAGAACUCAGCCUUGCUUUUGCUUGGUGCAUUUUCUGGUUGACGGGCCAGCAUCGAUUUUGACCAUCGGAAAAAGGCCAGGGGAAUGUGGCACCUUCGGGUGUGUUAUAGCCCUUGGUCACAUACGGUGGUUGGGAUCGAGGACCGCAGCACGCCUUUAUGGCCGGGGUUCGCCCACGUUCGUGCUUAGGAUGCUGGCGUAAUGGCUUUAAACGACCCGUCUUGAAACACGGACCAAGGAGUCUAACAUGCCUGCGAGUGUUUGGGUGGAAAACCCGAGCGCGUAAUGAAAGUGAAAGUUGAGAUCCCUGUCGUGGGGAGCAUCGACGCCCGGACCUGAACUUCGGUGAUGGCUCUGCGGUAGAGCAUGUAUGUUGGGACCCGAAAGAUGGUGAACUAUGCCUGAAUAGGGUGAAGCCAGAGGAAACUCUGGUGGAGGCUCGUAGCGAUUCUGACGUGCAAAUCGAUCGUCAAAUUUGGGUAUAGGGGCGAAAGACUAAUCGAACCAUCUAGUAGCUGGUUC